GUCACUUCCCUGCUUUUUGGCUAAGAACAAAUUUAUAUCUGUUCUUAUCAGUUUAAUAUCUGACAUAUUCUCUACCUGAGGUCAGCAUACUAAAUUGGUUUUUGGAUUGGGGAGGUGGAAAGGGGGCUUGUUCCAUCCAUUCCAUGCCUCAUUUUGGCAUGGCUGUACUUCCAGGAAUGGUGCACUUCUC